UACGGUCAUUCCUUCUUUCCUACAAAGUACCAAAUAACAAAACCCUAGCGCUUCUUCAAGCUCCCCGUCGUUGUGCCCUCCGUCGUCGUGCGCUACUGUCACCGUCUCACUCGUCUGCUCAUCGUCCUUAGUCGUGCUCUGCCGCCGUUCGUCCAUCUCGCAGCUCUUCCUUGUAAGGUUGUGAAAACCCUAGCCUCCACCGCGCCGCCAUCAAUCUCACCGUCGCCGCCCAUCGCGCUCAAGAUCGCCACUAGGUUCGUUGUGGUCGUUCGCAGUCCUCAUGGUUCGUUGUUCUCGAGGUCCCUCGAUCCCUCGUUCGCCAAUGUUUUCUUUCCAGUCCUGUUUCACAGCUCUUUGCCGUCGUCCAUCGUUGUGUUUGUCGCGAGAUCGCCAUCUUCGAAGGUCAAUGCUCUGUUCGUGGCUCACUGUAAUAGUGUAAUGACAUUGUUCGGUUUUUUGCUCUGUUCAUAAGGGUUAUUGAUCUUUGAAUUAUUCUUGAAUGAUUUGUGUUUUCAAUUUUUCAUUCAUUGAUUAAUUGAUUGUUGAUUAGCUCUUACUGCUAUUUGUGAUUAUUCAUUGUAAAUAUGCUGCUGUCCUGCUGUUCUUUGUGCUUUUGUGGCUUAAUUGUGAUUAGAUUGUGCUGUUUGUGAUUAUUUCAUCCUAUAUUAUUGUUAGUUAACUGGUUUUAAUUUUGUUCCUGGGGUUUGAGUUUCUUCUACAAACUCCCCAGUUGCCUUUGCUCCCUCUGUCUUGGUCCAUAGAUUUCGUCUCCACAGGUUUUUUAUUACUAUUUUAUUUUAAUUAACGAGAUUGAAGUGGAUGUACUAUAAUUGCUUGAGGUGUGUGAUAUAUUUGAUUAAUGUGAAUGAAGAACACUAGGUUGAGUUGAAUUGAAUUGAAUCAUGGAUAAGAGCAUGUUAACUGGUUUGGAAUCACUUCCAAAAGCUUAUCAACAAAGAAUGGCGUCCAUGAUGUAACAGGUUUAAAUCCGUGAUAGCUAAAGGAUGGUGCAUGGUCUUAUGCAGAGCUUGCUAAAGAAGAUAUUUUAGAGCUGACUAAGGCUUUUAACGUGAAAGAGGCCGAGGCAAAGGCAUAUAUAUUUGAGGUCCAGAUUACUUUCCUUUCUCCAAUACUGAAUGAACGGCAAAAGUGAACUUCAAUUGAUGCUGCAAACUAUGACGGGGUGAUGUUACUGGGUGGAAGAGCGCCAGAGUAUCUUGCUCAUGAUCCUCUUGUUGUGGCACUGGUGAUCAAAUUUUUCAGUUCUGGAAAAGCACUUGCUUCCAUUUGCUACGGACAGUUGAUUCUGGUGGCUGCAAGUGUAGCUAAAGAUCACAAGUGCACCGCUUUUCCUCCUGUUAAACCGGCAUCGGUUGCCUCUGGGGCUCAUUGGGUUGAACCAGACACCAUGGCAGCAACAGUGGUGGAUGGUAAUCUCAUUACUGCCACCACUUAUGAAGGGCACUCUGAAUUUAUUCAGCACUUUGUAAAGGCACUAGCACGCAACAUAAGUGGCUCCAACAAAAAAAUCCUCUUUUUUUAUGGGGUAUGUUCAAAUGAUUUUCAGGCACACAACUGAUAGGGACUUAGUACUCAGGGCACUAAGGUCUUUGUUUAUUCACUUUUCUUUUAUUUAUUUUAAUUUUAGACUUAAUUUGAAUCCUCUUUAUAUUCAUUGAUACAUGGAAAUUAGUAGUUUAGACUUUAGACAUGUUUCAUUUUUUUCUCUAUUGUUGAAUGAUUGUUCAAUUGGAUAGCUGGACCUAUUGUUUUAUGUACUAACAUACUGUAGCAUGAUAGUGCUUGUGAAUCUUUAGAAUGUAUUUACUGUGCUUUGCUAGAA